AUGUCCACUUUCCAAGGUGGCCAGUCACAGGUUCAGCUGGUCCAGUCUGGGGCAGAAAUUAAGAAGCCCGGAGAUUCUCUCAAGAUAUCGUGUAAAACUUCAGGGUUCACGCUCACUAGCUAUUACAUGAGCUGGCUCCAGCAGACUCCUGGGAAAGGACUGGCGUGGGUUGGAAGAAUUGACCCUGAAGAUGGUGCUACCAUCUACUCCCAGUCCUUUAAAGACAGAUUCUCCAUCACCACCGAUAACUCCAUCAGCACCAUGUACCUGCAACUCCGCAGCCUGAGAGCAGAAGACACGGCUGUGUAUUACUGUGCUAGACACACAGUGAGAGGCAACCCAGACAUCACCAUGCAAAAACUGAGUGUGAGAGUAGCAUUGAAUCAGAGGCCUUAG